CAGCCGCCGCGGUAAUACGUAGGGUGCGAGCGUUAAUCGGAAUUACUGGGCGUAAAGCGUGCGCAGGCGGUUGUGUAAGACAGGUGUGAAAUCCCCGGGCUUAACCUGGGAACUGCGCUUGUGACUGCACAGCUAGAGUAUGGCAGAGGGGGGUGGAAUUCCACGUGUAGCAGUGAAAUGCGUAGAGACGUGGAGAAAUACCGAUGGCGAAGGCAGCCCCCUGGGCCAAUACUGACGCUCAUGCACGAAAGCGUGGGGAGCAAACAGGAUUAGAUACCCCCGUAGUCCCUGUCUCUUAUAA
rnacentral:rRNA from 1 species